UAGAAGCAAAGUAGACGGGCUCCAGAAUG
rnacentral:piRNA from 1 species